rnacentral:rRNA from 1 species
AUUGAACGCUGGCGGCAGGCUUAACACAUGCAAGUCGAGCGGAGAUGAGGUGCUUGCACCUUAUCUUAGCGGCGGACGGGUGAGUAAUGCUUAGGAAUCUGCCUAUUAGUGGGGGACAACAUUCCGAAAGGAAUGCUAAUACCGCAUACGUCCUACGGGAGAAAGCAGGGGAUCUUCGGACCUUGCGCUAAUAGAUGAGCCUAAGUCGGAUUAGCUAGUUGGUGGGGUAAAGGCCUACCAAGGCGACGAUCUGUAGCGGGUCUGAGAGGAUGAGCCGCCACACUGGGACUGAGACACGGCCCAGACUCCUACGGGAGGCAGCAGUGGGGAAUAUUGGACAAUGGGGGAAACCCUGAUCCAGCCAUGCCGCGUGUGUGAAGAAGGCCUUAUGGUUGUAAAGCACUUUAAGCGAGGAGGAGGCUACUGAGACUAAUACUCUUGGAUAGUGGACGUUACUCGCAGAAUAAGCACCGGCUAACUCUGAGCCAGCAGCCGCGGUAAUAC